CAUCACCUCAAAUGCCCUGCCAAUAGAAAUAAGCCAUUAGCCAGUGGAGAUUUUUUUUAUUAACCUGCGGGUGUCAAGGCCUGGGAUUAUAAUGAAUGGCAUGGAAAAGCACUUGCCAACACUUGGAUCAGAGAUUGUGCAGAUUUUUCUCUCGAGUUCUCGGAAUUCUUGAUUUUUGCUUGAAUUUCACGUCUAGUGCCAGAAGCUGAUUCUCAAGAUUGCUUUUUAGAAUAAGUGCCUUAUCGUUUUUUGCCUUUAGCUGCAUGCUGACAGAUCAUGAGGGACUCCUGAAUCCUCGGCUGCUCCUUUUCUCCAGAUUCAUUAUCUAGCUUGUAUUCUGAAGUAAUGGCAGACCGGUACUCCCAACUACAUGCUGCUACUUUAACACCUUCCAGUUCAGCUUCAGCCAGUCAGCUCAAUACUGUAUCGACAUGCCUUAGACACUUAGACUGACGCUUAGCAGGUGAGAACACUCUGAAUGCCUCAGUGACCCUGAGAAUCAGUAUUCAUGCACUAAGCUACCCUCAAAAUAAAACUGCACAAUUAAGUGCCAGUCAGUGCCAAACAAUACAUUGCAAUGUUCAAUACUUCUUGCUUGGGAAAAAGGUAAAAUCAUCCAGUACAAUAUUAUGGUUUCAUAUUGCAAGCAUGUUGCAUCAGACACCUGGGAAUCUGAUCAUGGUCGGUCUGACUUCAUCCACUGUUAGAUGUACUUGUUCUUUUAUAAUUGCCUUAUUGGAAGUUAUUAUUGACUGCUAAUUAUACUGUUGUACAUGCCUUUAUUCUGUACAAAUGGGCCACCGGUGGAAAUACUUUUUUUUUGUCUCAGAAGAGAAAUUCCCUGUGGAAAUAAGUUCAAAUAAAUUAAAAAUAUAAUAAGAAGCCAGAGUUUCUCAUGAGAAUGGCUAUGCUCCAUUCAUAAUUUAUGAAUUUAGUUGCUUUUUCCUUUAUUUCCUGCCAUUUAAGUGGCACAUUAAAUAUGUAUGUACAAUUCAGGCCAAAGGUUUUCAUCUCCUGUGGUUUUUGACUGGAAAAGGGGGGGUGUACCUCUCUUUCGCAAUAUAUUAACAAAAAAGCAUUAAAAUUAUUUAAAUGAAUCUUGCAACAAAACAAUUCAGUUCAGUUUUUUGUUUGCACUUGCUUCUCUUUUUCUCACUUUCUUCUCUUUUCUACCCAUCCUGAGGCGAAAUUCCACGUCAUGAAGAUUUUUGGCCCUUAAGAGACAAGAGGUCAACCCUGUGAGGAUCCAGACGCAUCUAGAGAUGUACCAGCUCCAGUAGAUUCCACUCCAUUAGCAUUUUGGACAUUUAAAGAGGAGAUGCCAACUCCAUGUGGCCUUUGAAGACAACAACCUCCUAAUCAAUAAACAAUUGUCAGACUAUAUCUGACAAUAGUAAGGACAUUAUUCAUAAUAACACCCUCUGGUGUUUAUAACAGUUUAUAAUCACACCCUCCAGUGUCACCCAAAUGAGGAUGAGGUUCCCUUUUAAGUCUGCGAGUUUUUCCUUGCCUAAAGUCACCCCUGUCACCUCAGACUUGCUCAUGAUGGAUAAAUACAAAUACAUUUAAAUAUGUCUAAUAUUAAUCUUGAAGUUGUGUAUAUUAUUCAUUGUAUAAUUUUCUUUUUGUACUAUAUUUCUUAUUUUCUGUAAAGCUGCUUUGAGACAAUGUCCAUUGUGACACGUGGUAUACAAAUAAAAUUGAUCUGAAUUGAA